AAAUUGAAGAUGAAAGUGAAGAUGUUGAAGAAACAGUUAAAGAUAAACUGGACGUUGUUGUUUGUUAUGUUGUUUGCAUUUGUUGGGACAACAUUGAUGAAAUAAGUUGUAGGUUGAUUAAGUUAUAGUUUAUGUUAUUAUGUUGUCUGAUAUAAUGUUGUAAGGUGGAUUGUAAUACAGUUUAAAUGAAAAUACCGGUUAUGUUCUUAUGUUGUCUGAUAUAAUGGUGUACUGGUA
rnacentral:lncRNA from 1 species